CCUGUGCAGAUGGUCUGAAGUAACGCUUGGGUUGCUUCUGACGUUAUAAUUCAUCGUAUAGCUGCAGUAACCGUGGUCCUUGCAACCUCAUAAAAAUGUUGCCAGCAUUGUUUUGACAGUGCCACUUAAUUCUUGGAAGGCCUCUUUGAUUUCUUCCCUGAGGUUCUUUGGACUUCCCAGAUUCCAGCAGUAACUCUCUCAGCUCCUGCCCUGCACAGCUUUGAAGUGCUAGAGGCACAUAAAUAGAGCAGAGAGAGCGAGUGAACAUGAAGGGGCCUCAUAGCUGUCUUAAAAGAUGCAAAGUGACUUCCAUGGAGCAAUGAUCUAAGAUCCAAUGAGAAUGGGCACAUGGCGAUACGGUUAGAUACCAAUGACCAGAAACAGGUGAGGUCAUUGAACUCUUAAGUGCGAGAUGAAACAAGUCUUCUGGGGUUCCAAGUAGAUGGAGUCUCGUUCUGUUGCUAGGCUGGAGUGCGUGAUCUUGGCUCACUGUGAUCUCUGCCUCCCCGUUUCAAGCGAUUCUCCUGCUUCAGCCUCCUGAGUAUCUGGAUUAUAGCAUUAGCCUUUUUCUCCAGCACCAAGAGUGUGCAGGGCAAAAGCCUGUGAAAGAGAGGAAGCAGUGUAAGGUACUGUGGGAAGUGUUCUAAGUCUGGGGCUCAUGAUCCUCUAAAAUACAUGGAUCUUCAAGUCUACAGACAAGCAAAAAGAAGCAACGACAACAAAAAUAAAAGUUUUUAGGAUCCUGCUGAAUCAAGAUGCUAAAACGAGGACAUAGGAGGAAGAUGUGACAUAUGAACCAGAAAGCAGGCCCUCUCCAGACACUGGAUCUGCGGGCACCUUGAUCUUGGACUUCUCAGCCUCCAGGAUGAUGGAGUCUCUCUCUGUCGUUCAAGGUGGAGUGCAGUGGUGCAAUCUCAGCUCACUGAAAUCUCUGAUUCCAGGGUUCCAAUGAUCCUCCUGCCUCAGCCUCCUGAGUAGUUGGGAUUACAGAGUACUGAGCUGUCUCUGAAGAAUUCAGAUUAUUGAAUGUAGCCACGCUUUUCUGAUUUCCUUUGUCAAUUCAAUUCAGGAGCUGUGAUGCAACGCGAUGUGUCAAUAUACAGCAGAAACACAGAUGAAAGAUGGGUGCAACCCAGAACAGAGAGUAAAGAAUGACCAGGCAACACUCUUUGAAAAUUGGAGACCAUUUGCAGCUGCUCUGUGUUGAGGAAAGUGAAUAAUAGGGUGCCCUCAAGGAAUUUCAAAGACCCCUGCAGAAGGAGGACAGAGAACAAUGUUGAUCCAAACUACAAAGGGUGGAUCACUUCUAGAGGAUCCUAGAAGAGCUCACUGCCAGACUACAGCUUCUCCCAUGAUUGUUUGGGUAGCCAAUUCAUCUGCUUAUGUCAGAUGCUUACAGAAUUCUUGUGGUUUACUUUACUCUUCACCAGAAAAAGAUGUGGAUGCCUUGAAAUUAGUAUCUGCACUGAUGCCAUCCUCAGUGAGAACACAAAGCAAUAGAGGCACAGUGAGAUUAAGUAACUUGCCCAAUGUGACACAGCAAAAAGUGGCAGAGACACAAUUUUAAUCUGGGUAGAAGAGGCAGUAGAUAAUGCAUAUUCCAAGUUCUGAGAAAGGUUUGAGUCCUAGGUUAGUGGCAUGAAAGCACAGCCCUGGGAGCCAUGGAGCAGCCAGUGCUCUGCCCACAUGUAACCCUUUGGGACCUCCACUUCAAUUCCCCCAAAGAGGAAAGAAAAGGAAAGAAGAACAAAGAUGUCUGAAGCACCAACAUCAGGCACUCGCCCAGCUGCCAUGGCCCCCCAAGUUGAAGAUCAUAUAACCUCUGCCUGCCCAAAUGAACCAAGCAUACAACCACAGGGGGAACCUAACUGUUCCAGUGGAAGAGCGGGGACCAAUUUAAGAGGUGGACACCAUGUGGCAGAAUCCAGGAUCCGAUCAUAUUGAGACCUGGGGUCACCCCGUGGCAGGAUCCAGUUGGAUCAUGCCUCCUGGCAUCACCUAUUGCAAGAUCCAAUCAGGAAAAGCACAGUACAGGGGACUUUGGAAGCAUAUGGCAGACCUAUCUAAUCCAGUGGAAAGAGACUUGAAAAAUCCUGGAAAGGGAGAUACAAACAGAAUCUUAAAAGUAUGAGCAUGAUGGCUCAAGCCUGUAAUCCCAGCACUUUGGGAGGCUGAGGUGGGCAGAUCACCUGAGGUUGGGAGUUCGAGACCAGUCUGACCAACAUGGAGAAACCCCAUCUCUACUAAAAAUACAAAAUUAGCUGACUGUGGUGGUGCAUGUCUGUAACCUCAACUACUCGGGAGGCUGAGGCCUGCUGAACACCCACGUCCAAGCCCGAACACAAAGCCACUGACCAGGACACAGCAGAGUCACCAGCCACCUUCACUGACUUUUAAAUAACAAAAGAAGUUUUGUUCUUCAUCCUCACUGACAAACUUGCAGAAGAAGGUGGGCAUCUGAUUGACAGUGGGUGAAACUGACUUCAGAGUGAUCAGACCUGCUUGAGUUGGGGCGAGAGUAGGUGAUGAGAUCAGUGAGGACCCAUGGGAAGAUGAUGCUGAAGACAGGACUUGGAGGGUGAGUACUGGUAGCUGACUUUAUUGAGCCCCUACUGUGAAUUAGGGACUACUCUAAGAGUUUCAUAUGUGUUAACCCAUUCAAUAAGAAAGGCACUACUGUCGUCAUAAUAACAAAAACCCAGGAAACUAGUAACUUGUCCAAAAUUACACUGUUACUAUGCAACUGAGCUAGGAUGUGAACACAAGUAUCUGGCUUCCGAGUCUGUUCUUUUUUUCAUCACUAUGCCGUUCUGGUGAAAUAAAGGGCUUCUUGCUCAACAAAUGUGGAGAGUGUCACAGCCACAGACUAGCAAGGUGCACAUGAACAUGAAUGGCCAGAUGUGGGGCAAGAGUUCCGGGUGGCAGGACAUGAAACCGGAGAGGGACACUGUGCAAGGUCUCUGCUAGCAGGGGCCAUUCGGAUUUUAAUUUAUCAACUGAGAAAUACCAGAAGGCUUUGAAGCAAUGAAUGGAAGAAUCAGUUUCACAUUUUAGAAAGAUAACUUUCCAAAAUAGAGGAUGCACUGGUAGAAGGUGAAGCUGGAGGCAGAGAAACCAAUUAGGAGAUUCUUGCAGUGGUCUGUACUGUGCACAGGAGGUGUGGACUUGUGUCUGCCUAGAUCAUAUUCCAGUAGUAGAUUGAGUACAUAGGGGUCUUGCAGGGAAUGGGUUGUAUUUGAAAGAUAUAUUUAAAUGGGUAAGAAGGUAUGUGGAUUUGUUAGCACUUGAUUCCAAAAUUCUCCUUCCAGAUGUCAGUGCAAUAAAGCAAUUAAUUGUAAGGCAAGAUGAUCCGAUCAUUGAAAGUGAUUGUUAUGGGGUUUCAUCCCCGUAAACUGUAAACCCUAUAAUCUUUCCUAAAUGUAACUACAAAUCUUCUUUGCUUUUCAAUAAAUAUUUAAUAACAGGGGAUUGCAGAGGAAGGCGAUAUUUCAAAAAUCUUAAUUGCUCUAAAGAAACCAUCUGCAGACUUAGGUAUUAACACACCUAAUUGCUACUAAAACACAUUUAUCAACAAAGAUGAUCAACAGAGAUGCAAGCAAUGAGUUUUCUAAUCUCCGGGUGGGUAGGGACAGAAGAUUGACAGUUUUACUGUUUCUAAUUCAGUUUUUUCAUUGCUCAGACUUUUUCAGGUCCAAUUUAUCUUUAUCUUAGGAUAUGUGAGACAGUCCAAUCCUUCGUUUCAUUAGUAGAGUGUAGAAUUUUUCACUUUUUCCUAUAUGUUAUUUUUAGACAAUCCACUCUUCCCUCUUUCAUAUGCAUUCAGAGCUCACUUUUAAAGUCAUAAGUACCUAGUGAGAUCGUGUCCUCAAGCACUCUUUUGUUCUACUCAUUAAUUAAUAUUGGCUUGGGCACUGUUCAAAUCCCUCAGAUAACAGUGAACCAAAGAGAGGAAGUAACUGCCUUCAUCAGACUUAGACUGCAGUCGAGACUAGAGACUUCAAAGAAAUUCACAUGUAAAACUUUUGGAGCCAGAUUACUGAGACAGACUAUGUUAAACAUUUUGGGGUUUAUUCUAAGGAAAAUGAGUAUAAAAUGAGAAAAAAAAUCACUAAAACUAAGAUUAUUGUUCCUUGAUUUUUCUCUUGAUUUUCACUCAACUAAUAACACAGAGUAAAUGGUCUGGAAUUGGCAAGGGUAUUAGAGGACAAAUUUGGACAGAAAGUCAAAGGACUCCUAUUCUUGCCUGGCCUUUCCAUCAACAGUUUUAAUUAAUUUAUUUAAAAUUCAAUAUCAUUAUUAUAUUUGCAAAUAAAUAUCAUUGGCAUAACUUUCCCACAUUCCCUUCUAGACAAGAUACAACAGAAAAACUUAAAUUUCCGUAAUACAUGAAAUGGCAACUAAUAUGUUCACUGCAACAAUCAAUUUUUUUUCCAGAGAAACUAUCAUGACUCAAAGUUAAUCUGUUCCAAGGAAAGGAACUGAAAUUGGUUGCUGACAUGCAAUCAUUCAUUUCUUAUUUUACCAACAGUAAUUAAAUUGCCCAGAACUGUUGUCAUUUAACAGCCUAUUAAUUGACUAAUGUGCAUUACUUGUAUUCAGAGUAUAGGUAAAAUCCAGGGAUUAAGCAAGAAGAAAGCAAGGUUUGCAAACUCUGCCUGUCAUCCUGAAAGCAGUAAAUUUGCCUCAUAUUGCAAGAUCAUUUAUAAAUGCACAAGUAGCUUAUAUUUCAGAAGAGGGAAACAUGUUAGUCUGAAAAUACAGGAGCAGCGAGGGUCCUUCAGCCUUCAGGGGAGCUAUGGAAGUUAUUUUUUGAAACCUUUCUCCUGAGCAGACGGACCCACUACCCUUUCUCGUCAACAAGAUGCUUUCUUCUGCAGUCACUUUUCUGUCUGCAUGAAAGGUCUCACUGCCAAUUCUUCAGGUUGCUUUUAAGAAAUGUUAUUUAUAUUCUUAGUUGGUAUUAUUACUAUUUUUUUCUAACAGUCAUGCAGAAUAUUUCCACAUAUGCAUGUUUUAUUUUGGUUUCCAGUUUUAGAAGUGUAAGCAUGUAUGGUUUAUAGGAACCCUGCAACAUAUUUUGAAAGUCUGGACUGAUUGUUCAUCAAAGCCUGAGGUUUCCUGAAAUCUCUGCAUCUUUGAAUCUCUGGUAUAGUCAUUAGGCCUAGAACACAGAAGAUGUCAAAUGAUGCUUGAUGAAUUGAAUCAGGAUAAGAAAUAAUUUACUAUAAAUAAGGAUGAAAGAAAUGACAAAGGUGACAUUUAUUAGCAUUAUUAAAAGUUGUAGUUCUGGGUUUUCAUAAUCUUAAAUUGCCAGCCAGCCAAAGGCAAGCAUCAAUUUCACUCAUAAAAUUUUCUUCAAAGGAUCUUAUCCCCAAACGACAUUUCUGUCAGAUUACCUCCAGCAUAAUUAGAGUCCUUGUCUCCUUUCUGUAGUCAGAAACGUUUCUCUCUUCUUGGGCUUUGGGCAGAAAUUAAGGCCCUUUAUGAUCACACCACUCUUCCCAGGAAACCUUUUUAAUCUAGGCCCAUUACAGCACAAGGAAGCAUUCCUAUUUCCUCCAGUCUCAGAGCUGUAUUUUCUGCCGACCUUGCUUGACUAACAUCUUCCCAGAAGCAAAUAUUCUGGCUGCUCUAUUCUUCAGUUUACUCUCCGUAAAAUGGAGAUAACAAUGCUGUUCUGACCUAUGGAUGUGUAUGUAUGUAAGUUGGAGAAUUACCUUGGCAGGGAACAGAAGGCAUGAGUGGGGCAGAAGCAGCAAGUUGCCUUCCCCUCCCACAACAGUGUGGGAGCUGUCUUUUUUUUCUCUCUCUCUCUCUCUGUCUAAUAAAUCAUUGUUACACACACACACGCACGCACACACACAAAAGAAGCAAGUUGACAUUGUCCCUUCCAUGUGGGCUCCUUCAUAGCUCGUUUUCUUUUCUUCUCAUCCUCUGUGGCUGACAUUUAGUGGUCUCACUUAUUUCUCCAGUAGAAAUGACCUACAGGAUAUUCUAUGGUUUCUUGUUGCUAAGAAACAAGAUGUUGGCCCCAGUAGAAAGAGGCAACUUGGGUAACUUGGGUGGAGUUGUUGGUGUGAAUGAAUGCAAGAUGAGAUCAUAAAUGUGUCUGUGCCCACAUGGGCAGAUAUGUAACCUUCAGUAAGUUUGUACCUUCAUUUAUGUAUCCAUGAAAUGGCAGGGUUAGAACAGGUGGUCUCUAAGGAAUUCUGCUUUGGUCUAUAAAUUAAAUAAAACUGAUUGCAUUGAUGGAAAACAGAUUCAAUUAAGUUUGUGCAUUUCUCUGAAAUCAAAAGCAGCUCACACCAAACUUUUCUAAAGAGGAAAAAUGUAUAUGCCGCCCUUCUUUCUGGAUUCUCUAAAAAACAUUUAAAUAUUUCUCACUUCCCUCACACCAAAUUAAGCGUGGGAUUAACUUUACCAUGCUCUGUGUCUAUGUAUCCAACCCGUUCACUUUUCUUUUUAAGGCCAAAUUUGUGUGAUAAAAGGUAAAAUUUCUAGUAUCCCUCCAUGCAAGACUGGUAGAAAACAAUGGCGAAAUGGUCCAUUCUGGACCCUCUGAAAUGACAUUGUAACAGACGUCCUCACUAAAUGCCCUAAUGUGUGUAGUUUUCCUGUGACACAUCUCUUGAGUCUCUGCUUUUGUCAUAUUUUUCAUUAGACAAUACUUUUCAAGUAUAGAUCUUCAACCAAUAGAGACCUGCCUAUCUAUAUUCUAUUGUUUAGUUAAUAUAAGAGAACUUUGUUCUGCACUUGUUACUGUACACAUCAGAUGCUGUGUCCAGACAUAUCAUGUGUAUCAUCUCUGCUCAAAGUCCAGAGUAGGAAGGGUCAUUUCUCAAUAUUACCUCAAAAUACCAUGAAUGCUCUAUCAUUAUGUCUCUUCUCUCAGAGGCAUUCUAUUCGAAGCUUUAUUUGUAAUUAUGGAGUGAAAAGCCUCAUUUCAUAGUAAAGAGAUGACUGCUAUCUGAAGAAAAUCAGGAGUCUGGGAAGGGCUAAGGGACACUUUCUAAUGUGUUGGGUAUUAGGCAGCAUAGAUUCUUUCCUUUGCCAAAGGCCAAACAGUAUCCAGCAGAGAAAAGUGUUGCCUGGCACCAUGCAAUCACAUUAAAAGUAAUAAAUAUGAACACAUCCAGCUAGUAUCUGAAUAGUAUUCUCAAAUUUGAGUCCAAAAGACAGCAUAGUGCAUUUUCAUAACAAAUUGCUGAUCUGAGAAUUUCCUAGGUGAAUCCAUCGUGUAUCAUAAGUUGAUGCUUCAACCUGCAGACAGAACAGCCAGACUGGCUGGCUUACAAAUUGCGGCUUUAUUUUCCCUAAAUCCCCAACAUUCAUGAUUUCAUUUCAGUAGAACAGUAAUUUAAACAAUGACUAAAUGUGUAAGAAAAAAUAUAUGGAAGGCUAUGGAACAAUUUAUUAAUAAUGGUAGGACAUUUUCUGCAGUACUUCUAAUCUAUCACUUAGGACCGUAUUGAUUCAGCAUCAGAGUCCUUGGAAACAAGCCUCUUACCAAUAUCUAAGAUCCUGAUGUUGUAAUUGAACUAGAAAAUGUAAGAUUUCCACUGUUCCUGCUGAGAAUUCUUCCCAAUAAAUGUAUGUUUUCCACCGGGGCUAAAACCACUGCUACUUGUGUUUUUAAUUUUUCCUCCUGUUUCUUUUUCAUAUUAUUCAGUUUUCUGUUUUUCUCUCCUUUACCAGAAAAACAGACAUAUUAGGCACUAUUUAUUCCUCUAAGACAACUUGCACUUUAGGGGGCCAUUUGAAUGAUAAACUUUGUUAUAACUUAUAGCCAGAAAAUCACCACUGUGCAGUAUGAAAAAACUGAAAAAUGCAUUAAUGUUUAACCCUACACAGUGGUUGAAUGAAAUCUUAGCAGGACAAGUUUUUACUAUGUCUCCCAUUGUUUUAUAUGUUAUUCUGUAAAAAAGCUUAAGAAAUGCCUCAGUUUGCAGCCUCAUUGAGGAACCAGGACACAUACUUCCAAACUUAAUGAGUUAUAUAGUACAGCAUCAGCAUUACAGCACCAUUUUCUGGGGGAACAAAGACCACUUGACUAGGGUUAUGGUUCUGAUUCCAAUGCUAAGCAGAUGUGUGGCCUUGGGGAAGAUGUGCCAUAUCUCUGAGGAACUGAAAAUGAAGGGACUAGAUGAGGCCAUCUCUAAGGUCCUUCCACUGCUGAGUGGCACACUUUGAUUUUUUUGUCUUCAUGAGCUUAAGAAAAGCACUAAAGGCCGGGCGCGGUGGCUCAAGCCUGUAAUCCCAGCACUUUGGGAGGCCGAGGCUGGUGGAUCACUAGGUCAAGAGAUCAAGACCAUCCUGGUCAACAUGGUGAAACCCCGUCUCUACUAAAAAUACAAAAACUUAGCUGGGCAUGGUGGCGCGUGCCUGUAAUCCCAGCUACUCAGGAGGCUGAGGCAGGAGAAUUGCCUGAACCCAGGAGGCGGAGGUUGCGGUGAGCCGAGAUCGCACCGUUGCACUCCAGUCUAGGUAACAAGAGCAAAACUCCGUCUCAAAAAAAAAGAAAAAAGCACUAAAGAGCUGAGUGAAAAAUCUCACUAGAAGACCCAACACUAGAGUAUUGAGUAUUUUCCAGUGGAAUAGAAUCCUUCUAAUAAAAAGAGUACCUAGGAAAGGUACCAACAUGAGUUACAUAGGAGUGGAAAGGAAGGUGGCCCACUCCUCUGACUAGAUAGUUACAGAGCUAGCUUCUCCUCUUCAGUGUGUUGAGCUCUAUAUGCCUAGGAGUAGUGGAUGCUAUAGUGUGCUAUUCAAAUGCCCCCUCCAAGACAAGGGCACUCAUUCAACAAGGCACUGAGAGUAUUGGCUCUUGUUGUCUCACAGCCAAAUCACCAAAUCGCCCUCUUGGAAUUGCUCUUAGCUGAAGGAGGCUACAUUGAGCGAGUUUACACUCUCUCCCUGGCAUAGUCUACUUCUAUUGGCUCAUGAGUGCAGAGAGGAUACAAAGUUUCCGCUCUGUUGCCUCAAUUUGAGACAAUUCUGAAGUUGCCUCCCGGAUCAGAGGUCCUGGUGGGAUUAUGGGAUCCUCUGUGGUCUCUGCUGCAAUUGCAUGCAGCACAGUUCACUUUCUCUCUGCUCAGUUUUCCUUCCCUCUUCCUCUUUUGAAUGAUGUUCCUGUGAGCACUCUUUAAUAAAUCCCCUACACUCAAAUUUUCAUCCUGGAGUCUGUCUCUGAAUAAUCCACCCAAGGUGCCAGAAGAUGAAAAAGACCCUGUGAGAGCCAGCGGCUCAUCCAAGUUAUACCAGCUGUUGGGAGGCUGAAGUGGGAUAAUCCUCUGAGUCCAGGAGUUUGAGAGUAGCCUGGGCAACACAGCAAGAUCUUGUCUCUAAAAUAAAUUUUUUAAAAUUAACCAGGCAGGGUGGCAUGCACCUGUAUUUCCAGCACACCAUC